rnacentral:rRNA from 1 species
GAUGAACGCUGGCGGCGUGCCUAAUACAUGCAAGUCGAGCGAACAGACGAGGAGCUUGCUCCUCUGACGUUAGCGGCGGACGGGUGAGUAACACGUGGGUAACCUACCUAUAAGACUGGGAUAACUUCGGGAAACCGGAGCUAAUACCGGAUAAUAUUUCGAACCGCAUGGUUCGAUAGUGAAAGACGGCUUUGCUAUCACUUAUAGAUGGACCCGCGCCGCAUUAGCUAGUUGGUAAGGUAACGGCUUACCAAGGCAACGAUACGUAGCCGACCUGAGAGGGUGAUCGGCCACACUGGAACUGAGACACGGUCCAGACUCCUACGGGAGGCAGCAGUAGGGAAUCUUCCGCAAUGGGCGAAAGCCUGACGGAGCAACGCCGCGUGAGUGAUGAAGGUCUUCGGAUCGUAAAACUCUGUUAUUAGGGAAGAACAAACGUGUAAGUAACUGUGCACGUCUUGACGGUACCUAAUCAGAAAGCCACGGCUAACUACGUG